GUGUCAUGAGGCUGGUCGUGCCACCGGUACGUACUGGUCUCACUGAUUCCUCCUUCCUGAAGAACCGUAAUGCCAUUAAUUUGGUGUUGCGGGGAAACAGGACUGUUACUUUGAAAAAAUUAGAGUGUUUAAAGCAAGCUAACGCUUGAAUACAUUAGCAUGGAAUAAUGAAAUAGGACGAUCGAUCCUAUUUUGUUGGUUUCUAGGAUUGACGUA
rnacentral:rRNA from 1 species